AUGGCCGCUCUCUCCUCUGCAGCGGUGUCCGUCCCUUCCUUCGCCGCCACCCCCAUGCGCAGCAGCAGCAGCAGGAUGGUGGUGCGCGCGUCGCUGGGCAAGAAGGCCGCCAGCGCGGCCGUGGCCAUGGCCGCGAGCGCGAUGCUGCUGGGCGGGUCGGCGAUGGCGCAGGACGUGCUCCUGGGCGCCAACGGCGGCGUGCUGGUGUUCGAGCCCAACGACUUCAGCGUCAAGGCCGGCGAGACCAUCACCUUCAAGAACAACGCCGGGUACCCGCACAACGUGGUGUUCGACGAGGACGCCGUGCCCUCCGGCGUGGACGUCUCCAAGAUCUCCCAGGAGGAGUACCUCAACGCCCCCGGCGAGACCUUCUCCGUCACCCUCACCGUGCCCGGCACCUACGGCUUCUACUGCGAGCCGCACGCCGGGGCCGGCAUGGUCGGAAAGGUCACCGUCAACUAA
rnacentral:rRNA from 1 species